rnacentral:rRNA from 1 species
UGCCAGCAGCCGCGGUAAAACCAGCACCUCAAGUGGUCAGGAUGAUUAUUGGGCCUAAAGCAUCCGUAGCCGGCGCUAUAAGUUUUCGGUUAAAUCUGUACGCUCAACGUACAGGCUGCCGGGAAUACUGUAGCGCUAGGGAGUGGGAGAGGUAGACGGUACUCGGUAGGAAGUGGUAAAAUGCUUUGAUCUAUCGAUGACCACCUGUGGCGAAGGCGGUCUACCAGAACACGUCUGACGCUGAGGUGCGAAAGCGUGGGUAGCAAACAGGAUUAGAUA